rnacentral:tRNA from 1 species
GAAGGCAUAGCUCAAGUGGUAGAGAGCAUGCUUAGCAUGCAUGAGGUCCUGGGUUCAAUCCCCAGUACCUCCU